CAGUAGCCGCGGGAAUACGAAGGGGGCUAGUGUUGUUCGGAAUUACUGGGCGUAAAGCGCACGCAGGCGGCUCGAUAAAUUAGAAGUGAAAGCCUUGGGCUUAACCUGAGAAUUGCUUUUAAGACUGUCGAGCUAGAAUCCAGAAGAGGGUAGUGGAAUUCCGAGUGUAGAGGUGAAAUUCGUAGAUAUUCGGAAGAACACCAGUGGCGAAGGCGACUACCUGGUCUGGCAUUGACGCUCAUGUGCGAAAGCGCGGGGAGCAAACAGGAUUAGAUACCCCAGUAGUCCCUGUCUCUUAUAC
rnacentral:rRNA from 1 species